GGUGGUAAUGCCGGAUGCUCCAUCACACUGCAUGGUGUGUUGGGAAAGCCUUUGCGGCAUGGGAUGGGGUCGCGUCCUAUCAGCUUGAUGGCGGGGUAACGGCCCACCAUGGCUUCGACGGGUAGCCGGCCUGAGAGGGCGACCGGCCACAUUGGGACUGAGAUACGGCCCAGACUCCUACGGGAGGCAGCAGUGGGGAAUAUUGCACAAUGGGCGCAAGCCUGAUGCAGCGACGCCGCGUGAGGGAUGGAGGCCUUCGGGUUGUAAACCUCUUUUGUUAGGGAGCAAGGCAUUUUGUGUUGAGUGUACCUUUCGAAUAAGCACCGGCUAACUACGUGCCAGCAGCCGCGGUAAUACGUAGGGUGCAAGCGUUAUCCGGAAUUAUUGGGCGUAAAGGGCUCGUAGGCGGUUCGUCGCGUCCGGUGUGAAAGUCCAUCGCUUAACGGUGGAUCCGCGCCGGGUACGGGCGGGCUUGAGUGCGGUAGGGGAGACUGGAAUUCCCGGUGUAACGGUGGAAUGUGUAGAUAUCGGAAAA
rnacentral:rRNA from 1 species